ensembl:rRNA 5S_rRNA 5S ribosomal RNA
AUCCAUGGCCAUACCACCCUGAACGCACCCAGUCUCAUCUGAUCUUGGCUGCUAAGCAGGGUCGGGCCUGGUUAGUACUUGGAUGGGAGACCACCUGGGAAUACUGGGUGCUGUAGGCU